CCUCCCCCUCCCCCUGAGUCGAUCACCUCAGCUCGCGCCCUUUCUCUAUCGCGAUCCCCACCCCCGCGCACCCCACAUCCCCUCACUCCCCCUCCCCCUCUCCCUCUCCCUCCCCUCUCGAUCCAAGCUGCGUCGCGGCGUUCUCUAAGCUCGGAUCCGGGGGAGGAGCUCUCCGCGGCGGAGGAGCUCUCGGCGGCGGCGGCGUCGUCUCCGGCGGCGGCGUCGUCCUCCGCCAUGGUGAAGGCGAUCCGCGUCCACGAGCUCGGAGGCCCCGAGGUGUUGAAGUGGGAGGAGGUGGAGAUUGGGGGGCCCAAGGAGGGAGAGAUCCGAGUGAAGAACAAAGCGAUUGGCGUUAAUUUUAUCGAUGUUUAUUUCCGUAAAGGGGUUUAUAAUGCGCCUUUGCCCUUUACUCCAGGGAUGGAAGCAGUGGGAAGUUGUGACUGCAGUGGGCCCUGGAUUGACGGGCCGCAAAGUAGGGAAUGUCGUAGCAUAUGCCGGUAAUCCGAUGGGUUCUUAUGCUGAGGAGCAGAUCCUUCCGGCAAGUGUUGCAGUUCCUGUCCCAUCUUCCAUUGACUUCAGUGUUGCAGCAGCUGUUAUGCUUAAGGGCAUGACUGCUCAAGUUUUACUGCGCCGUGUCUUCAAGGUUGAGCGAGGCCACACAGUUCUCGUCCUAGCCCUUCAAUGGUUCUGUUUGAUGUAAGAAAUUUUCCCAACUGAGAAGAAAUUACUAUACAAGGUCGCAUGCCGAAUCAAAUCUAGUGAAGUUCUCUAUAUCUACUGUUUCCAACUAAAAGCUUACUUUCCUCUGAGCCAUCAAUUGUGAACCUGACGCUUAUUGACCUUCCUGGGCUGACUAAGGUUGCUGUUGAACAGCUGGAGUUGCGAAAAUUGAAGUUGGAAGCAAGAGUUUCAAACAUGCGGUGUUUGUUAUUUUUUAGCUACAUUUUGAACAAGUAUUUUUUGUUAGAACUUAUGUUUGAAAUUUAAUUUGAAUACUGAGAUUGUAAUUUGAGAGUUGA